rnacentral:lncRNA from 1 species
UAAUGCAAUGCCUUAGCAAUUCAUUUGGGACAUUUGGACAUUAAUCCAAUAUUGAUUAAACUAAGAGUCUCUUCCUGCUUCUGCAGUCCCCUCAGAUCUUUCACCUGUCAACAUUUUUCUUCAACACAAGGCCUGUCUCUUUGGCCAGCGUGAACAGUGCAGAGUCCAAUAUUAGUACCUUUGUCUGAGAAAAAAUGCCCUAGGUGGGUAAAGAAGCUGAAAUAUCUGCUCCAGAAUGAAUAAUGUCAGGCGCUGUCCUAGCAGUUUCAGCUAAGCUCUGAAGAUGUGAUCUUGACAGAAGGCACUUGUAAACACUGGACAGUUUUGAGAACAUGACCCUAGGGUGCCUGCUUUUGCCACUGUCCACCAUUAAAAUGUAAAUGAGAGGAGAAAAGCAAGUAAAAGUCCAGCCUCACAUGGAUAGGACGUUACUCAGGUGUCCAGUUUCCCAUGUGUUGUGGCCUACUGACACAAGUCAUCGUCAGUAUUGGCUGCCACAGGACAAGGACAAAGAGAGAUGGAGGGAAUUACGUUCCCAGCUGAAAAAGGAAUGCUACCAGAAUUCAGUAAAAUUAAUAAAGAAUGCAACAGGGCUGUGAAAUUUUAGUUAUUCAAUCCAGUCAAAAAA